rnacentral:rRNA from 1 species
GACGAACGCUGGCGGCGUGCUUAACACAUGCAAGUCGAGCGGUAAGGCCCUUUGGGGUACACGAGCGGCGAAACGGGUGAGUAACACGUGAGUAAUCUGCCUUUGGCUUGGGAAUAACUUCGGGAAAUCGGGCUAAUGCCUGAUGUUUACUGUCUGCUGCAUGGUGGGUGGUGGAAAGAUUUUUUGGCCAGGGAUGAGCUCGCGGUCUAUCAGCUUGUUGGUGGGGUAAUGGCUUACCAAGGCUUUGACGGGUAGCCGGCCUGGAGAGGGUGUUCGGCCANACUGGGGACUGAGACCACGGCCCAGACUCCUACGGGAGGCAGGC